rnacentral:lncRNA from 1 species
CAAGCUCCCAGGUUGCUGGGAUUACAGGUGUGUGCCCAGCCUAACUUCUGUUCUUCAUAAUGCUGAUUUCCCAGUCUCAGAAUUUUUUUGUUUUUGGGUUUUUGUUAUAUCAACAGAAAAUGACAGCAAAGUGAAGAGGAGGAAAUCUCUGAGCCAGGGUACACCUGUCUGUGGGCUUCCUGAGAACAAAGAGCAGAAGGGAACUCAGGCCACUGGCUUUACCCUUCAUCCCACUCUUCCACCCUGCAGCUUCCCCCCGGCCUGUUGCUUUGACUUGCUUAGGUCCCCAAGUCUGGAGCUCCACUUGACCUCUGGUCUGCUGCAGCCAGGCUGCUGGGUAGAGGAGGACCUGGUGCUCUGCCUUUCAUAUAGAAACUUGUAAGUAUCCUAGUUUUCACUUCACCUCUCUGGCGUAUUCCUGCUGCCCUGGAAUACUGAGCCUCCCGGGGUUCUGCAGGACUUUGCUCCUUUCUUGUAUGCAUUUCUCUCUGCAGUGUCUUGGGCUAAAACUUUUGCUAGACAGUACAGUCCUCUACUUUGUUUCCAUCUUUUCGAACAUUGUUAAACAUCCUUAUCUAUUAAGGAGUCCUUAAUGGAUUCAGCCUUCUCCACACCUGGGUAUGUUGGUGUGUGCCUGUAAUCCCAGCUCCUUGGGCUGCUCAGUGGGGAGAACCACUUGAGGCCAGAACUUGAGGCCAGCCUGGGCAACAGGGCAAGGCCUUGUCUCAUUAAAAAAAAAAAAAUUUAUGUAUAUAUUAAAAACUUUCUAUACUGUCCUUUUAGUUGAGCUGGAGAGGGAGAAGAAAUGGCUAAUCUUUAAUCUCAUUAAACUUUAUUAGAUGUGUCUGGGACAGGGACAGCAGGCAGCUGGCAACUGUGCAUAGAGGGCUUGAAGGCCUGACUUUUCUAUGAGGUUGACUUUCAGCUGCUCUGUGUGCUAUUCAUUCCAUCCUCUGGCAGGUCUGAGCUCUUCAGGGCUCUGUGGGUCUUACCAGAACCUUCCUAGGCUGAGCUCCCUUUGCCCAGCCAUUCCUGCUUUAUGUCCUCCAGAAGUGUGUUGGAAUUCUUUUGUCUAUUUCUGAAAUACUACCUCUCAGACUGGGUCAGAUGGCUAUAGCAAAAUGGAAAGUCUAUUAUAUUCAUUCACUGU